AUGAUCUCCUGCCAUUUCAGCAGAUGGAGGAAUGGGGCCGGAGGUGAAAAUGGGCAGGAGGACUCGGGAGGCUCUCUGGUGGCAGCAGAGCCGGCGUGCUCGUGUUGGCCAUUUCUCAGCUGGGGAAUCCGCCACGGAGAGGUUCCCUUUAGCAAGAGAGGCAGAGGCUCCCUUUCUCAGGUCUUUCAGGGUGCUGUCUGCCUUCCUUCGAGACGUUUCCCCAGGAGGAUGGGCCAAGAGGAGCUCCGUCCGUGCCUCAUCCCGCCCCCGCCCCCAGCCCCAGCCCUCGACUCCCAGCCCCUGUCCAGUCAGGUGAGGCGCCCAGAGUACCUCGUGAGCAGCACCACCGCCUUGCUGACAGUGACUUGUGUGUCCCCCAGAACUCACGACGACGAUGUUGUGGAGGCCGGUGGGAGUGAGAAGACUGAGGCAAAGCCCCGGGCUGGGGGACAUGAGGACGAGGCGGCCCCAGUACCUGAGGUGGAGGUGGAGGAGGAGGCGGGCCAGCCCCGUGAAAAUGGCCAGGAGGAGUCCUUAGCCAUCGCCUGGGCUGAGCCGGAAGACGAGCCUGGCCCCAAGGUGGACGGGGCGGACGAUGAAAUCUCUUGGAGCUUGGAGAGUGUGUGUGAGAGCGACCUCGCUGACAGCAACCUCGCAGAAAGUGAUCGAGACUCGGUGGCGGAGCGCACCGACUGCCGCCAGGAUGAGGAGGCUGCAGACUGUUGCUUUGGGAGCAAAGGAUCGUGCUUCAAAAGUCUGAGGACAAGUUUGUCCUCUGCGAGCUUGGCUAGAAUAAUUCCCCGGUGGCCACACAACAGGGUGCACCUUGCCACUGAGCCAGAUGAAGGAACUCACGACGACGAUGUUGUGGAGGCCGGUGGGAGUGAGAAGACUGAGGCAAAGCCCCGGGCUGGGGGACAUGAGGACGAGGCGGCCCCAGUACCUGAGGUGGAGGUGGAGGAGGAGGCGGGCCAGCCCCGUGAAAAUGGCCAGGAGGAGUCCUUAGCCAUCGCCUGGGCUGAGCCGGAAGACGAGCCUGGCCCCAAGGUGGACGGGGCGGACGAUGAAAUCUCUUGGAGCUUGGAGAGUGUGUGUGAGAGCGACCUCGCUGACAGCAACCUCGCAGAAAGUGAUCGAGGUAAGAACAGCUCUCAGGUAGGAGCCAGUGGGAGAGGGUUCCCGGGACACUUGGGUUAGGCCUGCUGCUUGGAGGGUGGGGCGGGUGAGUGUGCAAUUGCAAAAGAGAAAGAAAUUGGUGUAAAGAUGUUCGUCGCCUAUGUUCCUAAGGAGGGGGAGCAGGUAUGAGAUGCCCGAAUGUUGGCAUCUGUGCUCACGUUGUGUUGGCGGGCCUCAGUCCCUGGAGCAGAGGGAAGGCCUGGGCACCUGGAGGAAAAACCCGGGUGAUGCUGUGUGACCCGCCGUCACCUCGGGGAAGCCGGGGAAACGGGAGGGCCACUCCUUCUCACGCCUCGCUUCCCCGCGGUGUGUUUCUACAGACUCGGUGGCGGAGCGCACCGACUGCCGCCAGGAUGAGGAGGCUGCAGGUAGGGAAGAGCACGCAGCUGGGAUCCAGGGGGAGAGGGUUCCUGGGAGCAGCUGGGUUCCACCUGCUGCCGGGAGAGGGCGGAAGGGGGCUAGGACUUGGGUGGGUGGCCUACUGAGCGGAACUCCGCUGUGGUGUUUUCCCCUCUGAAGUUGCUAAGCCGAAGACGACUUGGGUCCCUGGUCUUUGUUGUGCUGUGUUUGGAUUCGUGUCUCCUUCCUUUGAGAGGGAGAAUGGCUUUUCCCUCCGAAGCGGCUCCUUCCAGCUCUUGUCUCUGGCCAUGGUGCCAGCUUGCUUUGUGGGUCGCACCCUGAGGGUCCUGUGCACAAGAGCUGUUGACUUAGUUUCCUUUGUUGCCCUUGAGGGCCCUGGUGUGGUGGGACGCAACCCUCUCCUAGGCCCUUGACCCUGGAGACCAAGUUUGCCUGGUGAGUGUCAGGUGGCGGGUGAGAAGGCAGGUCUCUCCCUCUGCACGUUUGGGAUUUCUGGCCUCCCUGUCCUGGUGUGUCCUGGCGGUGUGUCCUGAGGGAAGGGGCGUUCCCAGAGUUGGAU
rnacentral:lncRNA from 9 species